AGUCGAGCGGACAGAAGGGAGCUUGCUCCCGGAUGUUAGCGGCGGACGGGUGAGUAACACGUGGGUAACCUGCCUGUAAGACUGGGAUAACUCCGGGAAACCGGAGCUAAUACCGGAUAGUUCCUUGAACCGCAUGGUUCAAGGAUGAAAGACGGUUUCGGCUGUCACUUACAGAUGGACCCGCGGCGCAUUAGCUAGUUGGUGAGGUAACGGCUCACCAAGGCGACGAUGCGUAGCCGACCUGAGAGGGUGAUCGGCCACACUGGGACUGAGACACGGCCCAGACUCCUACGGGAGGCAGCAGUAGGGAAUCUUCCGCAAUGGACGAAAGUCUGACGGAGCAACGCCGCGUGAGUGAUGAAGGUUUUCGGAUCGUAAAGCUCUGUUGUUAGGGAAGAACAAGUGCAAGAGUAACUGCUUGCACCUUGACGGUACCUAACCAGAAAGCCACGGCUAACUACGUGCCAGCAGCCGCGGUAAUACGUAGGUGGCAAGCGUUGUCCGGAAUUAUUGGGCGUAAAGGGCUCGCAGGCGGUUUCUUAAGUCUGAUGUGAAAGCCCCCGGCUCAACCGGGGAGGGUCAUUGGAAACUGGGAAACUUGAGUGCAGAAGAGGAGAGUGGAAUUCCACGUGUAGCGGUGAAAUGCGUAGAGAUGUGGAGGAACACCAGUGGCGAAGGCGACUCUCUGGUCUGUAACUGACGCUGAGGAGCGAAAGCGUGGGGAGCGAACAGGAUUAGAUACCCUGGUAGUCCACGCCGUAAACGAUGAGUGCUAAGUGUUAGGGGGUUUCCGCCCCUUAGUGCUGCAGCUAACGCAUUAAGCACUCCGCCUGGGGAGUACGGUCGCAAGACUGAAACUCAAAGGAAUUGACGGGGGCCCGCACAAGCGGUGGAGCAUGUGGUUUAAUUCGAAGCAACGCGAAGAACCUUACCAGGUCUUGACAUCCUCUGACAACCCUAGAGAUAGGGCUUUCCCUUCGGGGACAGAGUGACAGGUGGUGCAUGGUUGUCGUCAGCUCGUGUCGUGAGAUGUUGGGUUAAGUCCCGCAACGAGCGCAACCCUUGAUCUUAGUUGCCAGCAUUCAGUUGGGCACUCUAAGGUGACUGCCGGUGACAAACCGGAGGAAGGUGGGGAUGACGUCAAAUCAUCAUGCCCCUUAUGACCUGGGCUACACACGUGCUACAAUGGACAGAACAAAGGGCUGCGAGACCGCAAGGUUUAGCCAAUCCCACAAAUCUGUUCUCAGUUCGGAUCGCAGUCUGCAACUCGACUGCGUG
rnacentral:rRNA from 1 species